UUUCCGUAGGUGAACCUGCGGAAGGAUCAUUAUUGUAUAACCGAGGUGCGAGGGCUGUCGCUGACCCGACAGGUCGUGCACGCCCGAGUGCCCUCACCCACAUCCAUCUCACCCCUAUGUGCACCACCGCGUGGGUCCCCCUUUGGCUUGUUCGGAGGGGGGCUUACGUUUUCACACAAACUUUGUAUGCAGUGUAGAAUGUAUUUUUUGUUUUUGCGAUCACGCAAUCAAUACAACUUUCAACAACGGAUCUCUUGGCUCUC
rnacentral:misc_RNA from 1 species